GCAGUGUAUGCAGCAGAGAUGGAUGUCUGUGUAGUUGAGCAGUGUAUGGAGCAGAGCUGUAUGUCUGUGUAGCUGAGCAGUGUAUGCAGCAGAGCUGUAUGUCUGUGUAGUUGAGCAGUGUAUGGAGCAGAGCUCUAUGUCUGUGUAGCUGAGCAGUGUAUGGAGCAGAGCUCUAUGUCUGUAGUUGAGCAGUGUAUGCAGCAGAGAUGGAUGUCUGUGUAGCUGAGCAGUGUAUGCAGCAGAGCUGUAUCUG